UACGGAGGGUGCAAGCGUUAUCCGGAUUCACUGGGUUUAAAGGGUGCGUAGGUGGGCAGGUAAGUCAGUGGUGAAAUCUUUGGGCUUAACCCGAAAACUGCCAUUGAUACUAUUUGUCUUGAAUAUUGUGGAGGUCAGCGGAAUAUGUCAUGUAGCGGUGAAAUGCUUAGAUAUGACAUAGAACACCAAUUGCGAAGGCAGCUGGCUACACAAAUAUUGACACUGAGGCACGAAAGCGUGGGGAUCAAACAGG
rnacentral:rRNA from 1 species